ACUCAGUGCGACCCUGAGCCGGUAGCUGAGGCCCGUUUGCCAUCAGUAGGGUUGAGGUCCCAUCGCUACAGCCCAGGGGGGUUGGGAGGCUCCAGGAAGAUGUGUAAAGUGCUGGGAUGUCAGGAUCCUGGAGCCGCUGUCACCUCCGCACUAGGGCAGUGUUCUGCACCCCGCUGCUGCUGGCUGACUUUCUCCAUCUCCUGGCAAUAAGACAGACUCUUGUUUUCAUAGCCAGAUGAUCGCUCUAGAGUCAUCACCCUGCCUUCUGGCUGGGCAGGGUAACUCCUCAGGUCACCACCCUCUCCAGCCUGCCUUGGGCUUGGAGAGUGAGGAGGAGGGCAAGGGACAUCUGCUUACCUGAACAUCUGCCAUCCAUCUUACCAUCAUGUAGAGUUCCUGAUCCUGCUUGUGUAGGAGUCAUGGGGGAUUUGGACAAUAGGCGGGUCCCCACGAUCCCCCAUUGAGGUCUGAGCUCUGGAGCUGGUGUGAGUGGGGCAGGAAGAUCCCUAGCUAACAGGUUCUCUCUCGCUAUACCCUACUCCUGGUGAGUACAGGAUGAGGGGCAGCAGCUCAUGUUCCUGCAGGCCAUCUACUCCGCGUGUCUUGCUGCACAGGACAGAGGGUAGGACACGCUGGAGCCACGCUGCUGCAAGACGGCUGUGGUGGAGAGGAUUGUGGAGCUCACUGAGGAGCUUCCUAAAGACUCUCCACCCAGCGCCAUCCCUCGCCAGCUCCCUGAUUGCAGUGGGCAACCGCAGCACCAUGAAAUCUGCCCUUGAGCCAGACCUAGAGACCCACCUCUUGAGAGCUGCCCUUUGCUCAGUCUUCACCCUUGGCACGGAGAAGGACACCAUCAACACCCAGGCGCUGUACAAAGUCAUGCCAGAGCUCCUGGAUGCCAUGCUGGGGAACCUGCUGGCAGAGUCCCCAGACGCAGGCAGGCUCCACUCCAUCCUGGAGAUCUCAGCAGAGUUCCUUAGGAUGGGUCACCAUGUGGCACAGCUGGCUCUCUUUGUCAGUGACCCAGAUAAGGACAUCAGCCAGCAGGCCAGGGAGGGGACUUACCGGCUGUACCAGCUGCUGCUCCAACAGAGGGGGCUGACCAUACAUGAGGCAGAAGAUCUGUGGUGCCAUGACUGGCAACAGGACAGCAGGCUCCUGGGCUAUAAAAACACAGCCAGCGUGGGGGAGGUAAGGACACUGCGGCAGGGCAUGACACAGCUCAGGGAGAGGGGCUGGCUGGGUUCCCUGCAGUGGAUGCCUCCUGGAGACAGGACAAGAGCCCACUCCUUAUUUCCAGCUCAGAGUUCCUCAUCCAGCACCCAGUGGGACAGGCUGGUGCUAAAGGUCCCACAUUGGAACCUGGCUAGUUGCCGUGAUUUGAGUGUCUUACAUGGAGCCAUUGCUACGUGGCAUAAGGAGAAUCCCCAGGUCUUUGGAAAAUUCUUCUCUGAGGGGCAGAGAAAAUACUUCCUCCAGACAGCAAUGCUGGCGCUCCACGACCCCUUGCGUGUGUCAGCCAGGCUGGGCUGCUCCUCACAUACUCCAUCCUGGGGGAAACCCAGCAGCUGAUGGGGGACAAGGCCCUGGGGGGUGUGACAGCCUCCCAGAUGGGUGCAGUCAGAAGCUGAGCCACCUCAGGGAGCAGUGGGGACAGGUCACCUUGUCUAGGAAACCAAGCAGUGCUAGUUCUCAAAGAGGCGAGAAGGGAAGACUCCGCUCCUUCAUGGAGCAAGAGGCUCCCCACAGAUGUCCUCAAACCUGUACUCCUGGGAGUGUUUCUGGGAGGAGGCUCCCGUCCCUCAGUCUCCACUCCAUCAUGUAGUCUCAUUCACAUAACAACUCUGCUCUCCAGUUCCACCUCCUGCAGCAGGACAAACGAACCUUCAGCUCCUAGAGACCUGACUCUGACCUCCUUCUGAUCAGCAACGGGGUUUCACCAUCCUCUCAACAAACCUGUCAGCCUCUGAUUGAUGAAAGUCAGAGCCACCAGAACCAGCCAAACUCCAACUGCAGCUAGUCGAGUCUUUGUGAACUUAGCCCUUCUGGAAACCAGGUCAGAACUGGAGAGGUCUGAAUUCAUGGACUCAGAUUUUAAGGUCAGAAGGGACCAUUAGGAUCCUCUAGUCUGACUUCCUGCACAAUACAGGCCACAGAAUCUCACCCUCCCACUCUUGUAAACCCUUAACCUAUGUCUGAACUAUUGAAGUCCUCAAAUCAUGGUUUCAAGACUUUAAGGUGCAGAGAUUCCUCCGGCAAGUGAACAGUGUCCUAUACUGCAGAGGAAGGUGAAAAACCCCCAGGGACUCUGCCAGUCUGCCCUGGAGGAUAAUUUCU